rnacentral:rRNA from 1 species
AUUGAACGCUGGCGGCAGGCCUAACACAUGCAAGUCGAGCGGAUGAAGGGAGCUUGCUCCUGGAUUCAGCGGCGGACGGGUGAGUAAUGCCUAGGAAUCUGCCGUGCAGUGGGGGGUAACGUCCGGAAAUGGGCGCUAAUACCGCAUACGUCCUGACGGAGAAAGUGUGGGGUCUUCGGACCUCACGCUAUCAGAUGAGCCUAGGUCGGAUUAGCUAGUUGGUGGGGUAAAGGCCUACCAAGGCGGCGAUCCGUAACUGGUCUGAGAGGAUGAUCAGUCACACGGGAACUGAGACACGGCACAGACUCCUACGGGAGGCGGCAGUGGGGAAUAUUGGGCGAUGGGGGAAAGCCUGAUACAGCAAUGCCGCGUGUGUGAAGAAGGUGUACGGAUUGUAAAGCACAGUAAGUUGGGAGGAAGGGAAGUAAGUUAGUACCUGGCUGUGUUGACGGUACCCACAGAAGAAGCACCGGCUAACUUCGUG